AUACGUAGGUGGCAAGCGUUGUCCGGAAUUACUGGGUGUAAAGGGCGUGUAGGCGGGGAUGCAAGUCAGAUGUGAAAUUCCGGGGCUCAACCCCGGCACUGCAUCUGAAACUGUGUCUCUUGAGUGCUGGAGAGGAAAGCGGAAUUCCUAGUGUAGCGGUGAAAUGCGUAGAUAUUAGGAGGAACACCAGUGGCGAAGGCGGCUUUCUGGACAGUAACUGACGCUGAGGCGCGAAAGCGUGGGUAGCGAACAGGAUUAGAUACCCUGGUAGUCCACGCCGUAAACGAUGGAUACUAGGUGUAGGAGGUAUCGACCCCUUCUGUGCCGGAGUUAACACAAUAAGUAUCCCACCUGGGGAGUACGGCCGCAAGGUUGAAACUCAAAUGAAUUGGCGGGG
rnacentral:rRNA from 1 species